GAUAACAGUGAUUCGAGAUGCUCCGGGAGAAAUUAAUCUAUCUUGUUUAAUAUUCUUUGCAGGUAAGAUUAAUUCGAGUAUAUAACAAGUUAAAGGUGUCUUUGAAUGGUUGUCAUUAGUGUUUAACGUUUUGAGUGAGUUUUGAACAACAAAACUGUAUUUUAAGUACUCGUGAAUGUAAUACGAACUGAAGUAACUAUCUUGAAAGUUCCUUUUAAAAACAAAGAUUGCUAUUUCACAGAGAGAGAAAAAAUGCAAUUAUGUUGUUACUUGAAUUUUGAUGGUAAACAACUAUUUGACAGUACCGUGAGUUCAGUAAUGCACACGGAGUUCGCGGGUGUCCGCCAUUUUGUUUCAAGUGAAUGUUGCCAUGGUGAUAGUGUUAAUAAUUGAAUUGUAAAUGAGAUCAUAUGUUUGCGUAUGAAACAAGAGUAAAGAAAUAUGACAGAAAAUAACUCAUAUGAUGUUGAGGUUGUUUUGAGCAUAUAAAUAGUGCUUAAAUAGACAAUUUAUGGUUUCUAAAAGAAUCUUUAAAAGACAAAAGAUAAUCUAAUGUGAAAUGACAAUCUAAUGUGAAUACUACUACUAUAGGCUGAAUCAAAACCUGCAAGGCUAAAGUUGAUUUUGCGUGAGAAAGAUGUUGAAAACUCUGAAUAAUCUUGGCAUUCUUCAAUGAGUAAUUGUUCCAUUUUUAUGCAAAUAGUGUACUCUAUGAAUUCUGUGAAUAAACAAAUAUUUAAAUAUAUUUAUAACAUU